AUUGAACGCUGGCGGCAGGCUUAACACAUGCAAGUCGAGCGAGCGGCGGACGGGUGAGUAAUGUAUGGGGGCUGCCCGAUAGAGGGGGGUAACUACUGGAGACGGUAGCGCAUAUCGCGUACUCCAGGAUUACCCAUAUGGGAUUAGCUAGUGGGUGAGGUAAUGGCUCACAUAGGCGACGAGCCCUAGCUGGUCUGAGAGGAUGAUCAGCCACACUGGAACUGAGACACGGCCCAGACUCCUACGGAGGCAGCAGUGGGGAAUAUUGCACAAUGGGCGCAAGCCUGAUGCAGCCAUGCCGCGUGUAUGAAGAAGGCCCUAGGGUUGUAAAGUACUUUCAGUCGGGAGGCGUUACCGACAGAAGAAGCACCGGCUAACUCCGUGCCAGCAGCCGCGGUAAUUC
rnacentral:rRNA from 1 species